UGCGUAGGUGGUUUUGCAAGUCAGAAGUGAAAGGCUACGGCUCAACCGUAGUAAGCUUUUGAAACUGCAAGACUAGAGUGCAGGAGAGGUAAGUGGAAUUCCUAGUGUAGAGGUGAAAUUCGUAGAUAUUAGGAGGAACACCAGUGGCGAAGGCGACUUACUGGACUGUUACUGACACUGAGGCACGAAAGCGUGGGGAGCAAACAGGAUUAGAUACCCUGGUAGUCC
rnacentral:rRNA from 1 species